AUUGAACGCUGGCGGCAGGCCUAACACAUGCAAGUCGAACGAGUGGCGGACGGGUGAGUAAUGUCUGGGAAACUGCCUGAUGGAGGGGGAUAACUACUGGACACUGUAGCUAAUACCGCAUACCAUAAGAUGUGCCCAGAUGGGAUUAGCUUGUUGGUGGGGUAACGGCUCACAAAGGCGACGAUCCCUAGCUAGUCUGAGAGGAUGACCAGCCACACUGGACCUGAGACACGGUCAAGACUCCUACGUGAGGCAGCAGUGGUGAAUAUUGAACAAUGGGCGAAAGCCUGAUGCAGCCAGGCCGCGUGUAGGAAGAAGGCCUUCGGGUUAUAAAGUACUUUCAGAGGGGAGGCGUUACCCGCAGAAGAAGCACCGGCUAACCCCGGGCCAGCCGCCGCGGUAAUUC
rnacentral:rRNA from 1 species